AAUCUUCCAAAUUGGGCGAAAGCGUGAUGGAGCAACGCCGUGUGAGUGAAUAAGGAUUUCGGUUCGUAAAACAAUGUUGUAAGGGAAGAACAAGUACAGUAUCAACGGGCUGUACCUUGACGGUACCUUAUUAGAUAGAUAUGGCUAACUACGUGCCAGCGGCCGCGGUAAUACGUAGGUGGCAAGCGUUGUCCGGACAUAUUGGGCGUAAAGCGCGCGCAGGCGGUCCUUUAAGUCUGAUGUGAAAGCCCACGGCUCAACCGUGGAGGGUCAUUGGAAACUGGGGGACUUGAGUGCAGAAGAGGAAGGUGGAAUUCCAAGUGUAUCGGUGAAAUGCGUAGAGAUUUGGAGGAACACCAGUGGCGAAGGCGACUUUCUGGUCUGUAACUGACGCUGAGGCGCGAAAGCGUGGGGAGCAAACA
rnacentral:rRNA from 1 species